rnacentral:rRNA from 1 species
GAUGAACGCUGGCGGCGCGCCUAACACAUGCAAGUCGAACGAUUAAAGCACCUUCGGGUGUGUAUAAAGUGGCGAACGGCUGAGUAACACGUGGGCAACCUGCCCCUUUCAUUGGGAUAGCCACGGGAAACCGUGGAUAAUACCGAAUACUUCGAGACUUCCGCAUGGAAGACUCGAGAAAGCUCCGGCGGAGAGGGAUGGGCCCGCGGCCUGUUAGCUUGUUGGUGGGGGAACGGCCUACCAAGGCAAUGAUGGGUAGCUGGGUUGAGAGACCGACCAGCCAGAUUGGGACUGAGACACGGCCCAGACUCCUACGGGAGGCAGCAGUGGGGAAUCUUGCACAAUGGGCGGAGGCCUGAUGCAGCGACGCCGCGUGCGGGAUGAAGGCCUUCGGGUUGUAAACCGCUUUCAGCAGGGACGAGGCGAAAGUGACGGUACCUGCAGAAGAAGCCCCGGCUAACUACGUG